UCAUCCUCAGUUCGGACUGGGGUCUGCAACCCGACCCCACGAAGCUGGAUUCGCUAGUAAUCGCGCAUCAGCCAUGGCGCGGUGAAUACGUUCCCGGGCCUUGUACACACCGCCCGUCAAGCCAUGAAAGCCCGGGGGGCGCCUGAAGUCCGUGACCGCGAGGGUCGGCCUAGGGUGAAACCGGUGAUUGGGGCUAAGUCGUAACAAGGUAGC
rnacentral:rRNA from 1 species